AUGGCUCAGAUUGAACGCUGGCGGCGUGCUUAACACAUGCAAGUCGUGCGAGAAAGGUCCUUCGGGGACUGAGUAGAGCGGCGCACGGGUGAGUAACGCGUGGGUGACCUACCCAGGAGACCGGGAUAACAGUGGGAAACUGCUGCUAAUACCGGGUACGCUUCAUAUUUCACGUAUGGGGGAAAGCGGCCUCUGCUUGCAAGCUGCCACUCUUGGAUGGGCCCGCGUCUUAUUAGCUUGUUGGUAGGGUAACGGCCUACCAAGGCGACGAUGAGUAGCUGGUCUGAGAGGAUGAUCAGCCACACUGGGACUGGAACACGGCCCAGACUCCUACGGGAGGCAGCAGUGGGGAAUAUUGCGCAAUGGGCGAAAGCCUGACGCAGCGACGCCGCGUGAAGGGGAAGAAGGCCUUCGGGUCGUAAACCUCUGUCAGGAGGGAAGAAACCAUGGGAGUCGAACAGGCUCUCGUGCUGACGGUACCUCCGGAGGAAGCACCGGCUAACUCCGUGCCAGCCGCGGC
rnacentral:rRNA from 1 species